UCUUCGGCAAUGGACGAAAGUCUGACCGAGCAACGCCGCGUGAGUGAAGAAGGUUUUCGGAUUGUAAAACUCUGUUGUUAGAGAAGAAUGUUGAUUAGUGUGGAAAAUUAAUCAAGUGACGGUAUCUAACCAGAAAGGGACGGCUAACUACGUGCUAGCAGCUGCGGUAAUACGUAGGUCCCGAGCGUUGUCCUGAUUUAUUGGGCGUAAAGCGAGCGCAGGUGGUUUAAUAAGUCAGAUGUAAAAGGCAGUGGCUCAACCAUUGUGUGCAUUGGACACUGUUAGACUUGAGUGCAGUAGAGGAGAGUGGAAUUCCAUGUGUAGCGGUGAAAUGCGUAGAUAUAUGGAGGAACACCGGUGGCGAAAGCGGCUCUCUGGACUGUCACUGACACUGAGGCUCGAAAGCGUGGGUAGCAAACAGG
rnacentral:rRNA from 1 species